CCUAUUUCAAAGUUUCAAUAUGAAUUUCAAACUUUUCUUAGCCAUUGUUGUAUUUGCCAUGUUGGGCCUUCUAGCUCCAACAAUGGCCGAUCCACAGUUCGGAAUUUUGGCGGAGAUGGAGAUGAAAAAUGAAAAAAUAAGACAAAAAAUGAAGAAUCAAGGUUAGACUUCCACUGUUGAACUGAACUCUGUACCUUUCAAGCAUCAGUCUGGAUAUUGUUGUUAUAUAAACUCUUGUAGUAAUAUUGGCUUCUUGUUGUUGAAAAAAAAAAUUGCAGAACGAUACCAAAUAAUAUGUUUAUAUUAAAUUUUAAAGCUUAAUAAUUUUAUAAAACUGUGUACUUCACUAUUUAAAUAAAAACUCAAGCGAUAUC